rnacentral:rRNA from 1 species
GAUGAACGCUAGCUACAGGCUUAACACAUGCAAGUCGAGGGGAAACGGCAUCGAAAGCUUGCUUUUGAUGGGCGUCGACCGGCGCACGGGUGAGUAACGCGUAUCCAACCUGCCCAUCACUUGGGAAUAACCUUGCGAAAGUAAGACUAAUGCCCAAUGACAUCCCACGAAGGCAUCCGAAUGGGAUUAAAGAUUUAUCAGUGAUGGAUGGGGAUGCGUCUGAUUAGCUUGUUGGCGGGGUGACGGCCCACCAAGGCAACGAUCAGUAGGGGUUCUGAGAGGAAGGUCCACCACAUUGGAACUGAGACACGGUCCAAACUCCUACGGGAGGCAGCAGUGAGGAAUAUUGGUCAAUGGGCGAGAGCCUGAACCAGCCAAGUAGCGUGCAGGAUGACGGCCCUAUGGGUUGUAAACUGCUUUUAUAAGGGAAUAAAGUGGGUCACGUGUGACUUUUUGCAUGUACCUUAUGAAUAAGGACCGGCUAAUUCCGUG